AUUCGGGGUGCUACAUUGUGGCUGAGAUUAUACCCAUUGAACCUGUUCAGGUAAUGCUGGCGUAGGUAAUGA
rnacentral:ncRNA from 1 species